GGGGUACUGGGUCAGUGACAGAGCACAUGCCUACUAUGUCUGAGGCACUGGGUUCAAUUCCCAGCACCACA
rnacentral:tRNA from 1 species